UGUGUAGGCGGUGCUCUAAGUUCGGUGUGAAAUCUCCUGGCUCAACUGGGAGGGUGCGCCGGAAACUGGAGUGCUUGAGCGUGGGAGAGGAAGGCGGAAUUCCUGGUGUAGCGGUGAAAUGCGUAGAUAUCAGGAGGAACACCUGUGGUGUAGACGGCUUUCUGGACCAUAGCUGACGCUGAGACACGAAAGCGUGGGUAGCAAACA
rnacentral:rRNA from 1 species